UUAUUUUCCAAUUGAUGGAAUUUCUUCGUUCACAUCAAUGAGUCGUUAUUCAUUGCUAAAAUUCUGUAUAUCCGCUUGGAAGUAUUUUUCAGACCAUCCGUACAAAAAGAAAAGAUGACAAGUGUGAAGUUUUUUAUCUUGCUCUUUGUGUUGAGCUGCCUGCAGACCAUGAACUCGGAAGGAAGAUCCUUCCAGGACCGGGGCAAUGGCUACACCGAGGGACCCUACGGGGAAUUCGGCCCGAUUGAAGUGUCUGCCGGAGACGCAUCCUUCCGCAUGACCUGGACUAGUGCAGUGUGUGUGUAUGGCACAGUGGCCCUGGUUCUGUUAUUCAAAGGUUGGUGACAUUGCGGGGACCAUGUGAACAUUGUCAGCUGAACAGAAAUUAAAAUGAUUUGACUUUG